rnacentral:rRNA from 1 species
UACGAAGGGUGCAAACGUUGCUCGGAAUUAUUGGGCGUAAAGCGCACGUAGGUGGCAUAGCAAGUCGGAUGUGAAAUCCCUCGGCUCAACCAAGGAAGUGCAUCCGAAACUGCUGUGCUUGAGUACGAAAGAGGAUCGCGGAAUUCCCGGUGUAGAGGUGAAAUUCGUAGAUAUCGGGAGGAACACCAGUGGCGAAGGCGGCGAUCUGGGUCGAUACUGACGCUGAGGUGCGAAAGCGUGGGGAGCAAACAGG